UGACGACCGUUCCUCCUGCCGCUUCGAGAUCUGGCGGCUAGGAUUUUAGGUUGUCACAGAUCAUAGCGGGUCUUUUUCACCCGGAGUUCGCGAGGUGGCGGGUGCUGCCCCUGUGAACGCUGGAAUUUGCGGGACCCAACACGC